rnacentral:rRNA from 1 species
UUUAACGGCCGCGGUACCCUAACCGUGCGAAGGUAGCGCAAUCACUUGUCUUUUAAAUGUAGACCUGUAUGAAUGGCAUAACGAGGGCUUAACUGUCUCCUUUUUCCAGUCAAUGAAAUUGAUCUCCCCGUGCAGAAGCGGGGAUAAAUACAUAAGACGAGAAGACCCUGUGGAGCUUUAGAUAUAAAUAGACCAUGUUUAAUUAAUCUGAAAAUAACAGAACAAACCCAUUGGCUAACUAUUUUAAUGUCUUUGGUUGGGGCGACCGUGGGGAAAUAAAAAACCCCUGUGUGGAAAGAGAGACAUCUCUUCAAACCAAGAAUGACAAUUCUAAGUAACAGAAUUUCUGACCUAAAAAUGAUCCGGUGAACCGAUCAGCGAACCGAGUUACCCCAGGGAUAACAGCGCAAUCCCCUCCAAGAGUACGUAUCUAAGAGGGGGUUUACGACCUCGAUGUUGGAUCAGGACAUCCUAAUGGUGCAGAAGCUAUUAAGGGUUCGUUUGUUCAACGAUUAAAGUCCU